rnacentral:rRNA from 1 species
GGGAAAGGUGAAAAGCACCCCGACGAGGGGAGUGAAAGAGACCCUGAAACCGAAUGCUUACAAUCAGUCGGAGCCCGCAAGGGUGACUGCGUACCUUUUGUAUAAUGGGUCAGCGAGUUGGUCUUGCGAGCGAGCUUAAGCCGUUAGGUGUAGGCGUAGCGAAAGCGAGUCUUAAUAGGGCGAUUGAGUUCGUAGGAUUAGACCCGAAACCGGGUGAUCUAGCCAUGAGCAGGCUGCAGGUGGGGUAACACCCACUGAAGGGCCGAACCCACUAGCGUUGAAAAGCUACGGGAUGACUUGUGGUUAGGGGUGAAAGGCCAAUCAAACCCGGAGAUAGCUGGUUCUCCGCGAAAACUAUUUAGGUAGUGCGUCGAGUAUUACCUUCGGGGGUAGAGCACUGGAUGGGCUAGGGGGC